UUCCUAUGCUAGAGUCAGCCUCAAGUCUAUCAAAGUCCGGCAUGGUAUGACCUAUUUGAAACCAGGCACAACUAACAAACGAUUAAAAUGAGAUGAUGGAAAUAUGAAUUUUCCAACAAAAACUUUCUCUAAAAAUUAUCGUAUAGGAUUAAGGACACGAGGGAAUCAUAGUUAUUGCUCGGAGCAUUUUUGUUUGGUGAAUAUUGCUCUGAGCAUUUGUUAACAAGGUUAAUGCCAAUGGCAUGUAGCAGAAAGUUACUAUCCUCAACGAAUUUCCGACCCAUUCCAUUUUCAGUCCAAAACUCUCUUCGCUGCAUCCAAAAUGACACACCCUUUAAUCCCAAAGACUUAACGGGUUUAACAACGGAUCUCAUAAAGUCCUAUUUUGACAAAGGCUCGUUCGAAGAAGCGCACACACUGUUCGACGAAAUGCCUCACAGAGACGUUAUUGCCUGGACGUCCAUGAUCACCGGCUACACCUCCUGCAAUCAUCACAGCCGUGCUUGGAAUGUGUUUACUAAUAUGCUUAGAGAUGGGGUGAAGCCGAAUGCUUUCACUGUUUCUGCGGUUUUGAAGGCUUGUAAAAGUUUGAAAGCUCUUUUGUGUGGGAAAUUGGUUCAUGGGUUGGCGAUUAAGAUUGGUACGCAAGGUUCAUCAAUAUAUGUUGAUAAUGCACUUAUGGAUAUGUAUGCUACUUGUUGUGAUAGUAUGGAUAAUGCAAGAUUGGUUUUUGAGGAUAUUGGAACUAAAAAUGCUGUUUCUUGGACUACUUUGAUUACUGGGUAUACUCAUCGACGUGAUGCGUUUGGUGGUCUUCGUGUUUUUCGCCAAAUGUUUAUGGAGGAAGGAGAGUUGAGUCCCUUCAGCUUCUCAAUUGCUGUUAGUGCUUGUGCCUCAAUUGGGUCAAGUAACUUGGGUAAGCAGGUACAUGCUGCAGUAAUUAAUCAUGGAUUUGAGUCCAAUCUUCCUGUGAUGAACGCCAUACUGGACAUGUAUUGCAGGUGUCGUUGCGCAUCUGAGGCAAAACAAUUAUUCGGUGAAAUGACUCAGAAAGAUACGAUUACAUGGAAUACUUUGAUAGCUGGAUUUGAAACACUGGAUUCUUAUGAGUCUCUCUGCAUAUUUUCACAAAUGGUGUCAGAAGGUUUUAGUCCGAAUUGCUUCACAUUUACUAGUGUUAUAGCUGCAUGUGCAAACUUAGCAAUUCUGUAUUGUGGGCAACAGCUUCAUGGUGGAAUCAUUCAUAGAGGCCUGGAUAACAACUUGGAAUUAUCCAAUGCCCUUAUAGAUAUGUAUGCGAAGUGUGGAAAUGUAGCUGAUUCACAUAAAAUAUUUAGCGGAAUGCGGCACACAAAUUUGGUCUCAUGGACUUCCAUGAUGAUUGGGUACGGUGCUCAUGGACAUGGAAAAGAGGCUGUUGAUUUGUUCAAUGAGAUGGUUGGAUCAGGUAUUAAACCUGAUAAGAUAGUGUUUAUGGCAGUUCUCAGUGCUUGCAGUCACGCCGGACUAGUGGACGAAGGUCUGAGAUAUUUUAGGUUAAUGACCAGUUAUUAUAAUGUUGCACCGGAUCGAGAUAUAUAUGCAUGUGUGGUGGAUUUACUCAGUCGUGCAGGAAGGGUAAAAGAAGCUUAUGAACUAAUAGAGAAUAUGCCAUUUAAGCCUGAUGAGUCUAUAUGGGUAGCCCUUCUCGGAGCUUGUAAAAAAUAUAAACAACCAAGUAUACAGAAAUUAGCAGCUUUGAAGGUUUUGGAAAUGAAGCCAAAUAAGGCGGGAACUUACGUGCUCUUAUCAAAUUUUUCUGCUGCUGAAGGUAACUGGGCUGAUUUUGCCAGCUUGAGGAAACUGAUGAGAAGUACUAAAAGUAAGAAAGAGGUGGGGAGGAGCUGGAUUGAAUUGAAAAAUCAGGUUUGCAGUUUUAUUGUUGGAGAUAUAUUUGAUUCUUCAAAUAAGGAGGUGUGUGAAGUUCUAGAAUUGUUGAUUAGACAUAUGAAAGAUGCAGGAUAUGUACUUGAUUUAGAUUGCUCUGCACAUGACUUGGAAGAUGAGACUUGAAUAUAUGAAAGAUGCAGGAUAUGUACUUGAUUUAUAAAUGCUUGUUGCAGAUUCAUAAACCAAUACAAGCAUUCAUAUAUAACAUGACCUUGUGAACCUUUAAAAGCCUCUAUUCACAUACCAAUACAUGCACUCAUAUAUACAUAUGACUUGAAAGAUGGCACAGGGAGGAUUGUUCCAUCAAUACAAAUUCAACACACCAACCUGUGGCUGGACGGGAUGAGAUGUUCAACCCACCCUGUCUCGCCCCUUUUUCAACAGUUUGCUGGCAGGGUGAGGCGAGAUGGAGCAAUUCAAGGGCCUACAACAUGAGCAAGGCAAGGAGAUUCACUCUGGUUUCAUUAAAGGUACACAACCAAAACAAUGGUGUAUCGAUUCACAAAUGUCCUGUUGAUGGCGCCACAACUCAUUUCUAACACUGCCUCGACCACCAUCGUUUUUAGAGUGUCUUGUUCUAUAUGUUCUCUGCUAUGUGUUUUAUGUCACUGCUUUAACACCAUUCUCUAGCACUUCAACAAUAUGCAUUUGCUAACAAUUAAUUGGAUGAGUGACUAGCCUUCAUGCCUAGGUUUAGGCUCACCUAGUAUAGUUUAGUCUCUGAAAAAUUUGUUUGAAGUCUACUCUGUUUUUGUGAACAUGAUUAAUUCAGUGAUAGAAAACAAUAAAGAAUUUGUGGAUAAGUUGGAAUGAGGAGGAAAUGAAUUUAUUCGUUCUUUAUACAAAAUAAAAAAUCAUGUUU